UCCCACUGGACGAAUCUGAUGGAGCAAUGCCGCGUGAGUGAAGAAGGGUUUCCGGCUCGUAAAACUCUGUUGUUAAAGAAGAACACCUUUGAGAGUAACUGUUCAAGGGUUGACGGUAUUUAACCAGAAAGCCACGCUAACUACGUGCCAGCAGCCGCGUAAUA
rnacentral:rRNA from 1 species